rnacentral:lncRNA from 1 species
CUUUAACAUUCCAUUAAACCUCAGUCACUUGUGGGACUAUGUUUCAGGAUACAGUCUUCACCAGUUGUUCAAUCUUUUCUGGAGUCACAAUUGUUCUUCAUGGUCCUAAUUCCUGCUUCAUGGUCCCUGGAUGUGACAUCCCCAAUCCAUUUCUCUGAAUGCCUGAAUUCACUGGAAAUAUGUCUCUCACUCCCUUAGAAGCAGAUGCAGAGAUGAAGUAUAUUUGCACAGAAUUUCCUGAAGUACUCUCAGGAGAGACUAAUUACAAGUCUGGAAGCAGCAGAAAAAUAUUGUAAAGAAGCUAUCAAAGGAACAAUUUCAGGUUCAGUGGUAGCCUCAGUCAGUCUUCUGGGGAGCUCUAGAAAAUAAAUUAUACUUUGA